AGGGCACCACCAGGAGUGGAGCCUGCGGCUUAAUUUGACUCAACACGGGAAAACUUACCCGGCCCGGACACUGGAAGGAUUGACAGAUUGAGAGCUCUUUCUUGAUUCAGUGGGUGGUGGUGCAUGGCCGUUCUUAGUUGGUGGAGCGAUUUGUCUGGUUAAUUCCGAUAACGAACGAGACUCUAGCCUACUAAAUAGACUAUCGUUCCCUUUUGUGACGGUAGGACUUCUUAGAGGGACAGGCGGGCGACUCAGCCCGCACGAAACCAGAGCAAAUAACAGGGCCUGUGAUGCCCUUUAAAUGUCCGGGGUCGCACGCGCGCUUCCCUGGAAGUGAUCAGCGUGCAUUUAAUAACCUUCUCCGUCAGGAGUGGGUACCCCAUUGACCUUCCUCCGGAUUGGGAUAGGGAAUGUAUCCUACCUUGAAGCAGGGAUCCCCGUAAGCGCGGGACAAACCUGCGCUGAUAUCCCCCUGCCUUGAAACCCCCGUGGUUCUCAUGAAUGAUUAGGGUUCGAGGC
rnacentral:rRNA from 1 species